GUGAAUAGAAAUCAAUGAAAUUUUAACACAAGGUUUAUGACCACAAAAGGAAGGUUAGGAUUGAUUUUGGGAGUUUUGGUCCCAACAUUUUAGGAAUUAGGGGCCAAAAAGGGCCCAAAUAAGCAUUUUCUUGGUUUUCGCACUAUAACUUUAGUUUAAGUGAAUAGAAAUCUAUGAAAUUUUGACACAAGGUUUAUGACCACAAAAGGAAGGUUGGGAUUGAUUUUGGGAGUUUUGGUUCUAACAGUUUAGGAAUUAAGGGCCAAAAAAGGGCCCAAAUAAGCAUUAUUCUUGGUUUUCGCACAAUAACUUUAGUAUAAGUAAAUAGAAAUCAAUGAAAUUUUAACACAAGGUUUAUGACCACAAAAGGAAGGUUGGGAUUGAUUUUUGGAAUUGAGGUCACAACAGUUUAUGAAUUAGGGGCAAAAAGGGGCCCAAAUAAGCAUUAUUUUUGGUUUUUGCACCAUAACUUUAGUAUAAGUAAAUAGAAAUCUAUGAAAUUUAAACACAAGGUUUAUGACCAUAAAAGGAAGGUUGGGUUUGAUUUGGG
rnacentral:lncRNA from 1 species